rnacentral:lncRNA from 1 species
AUGAAGGGACAGGUGAAUGCAGAGAAGCUCCUGGCAGGGUUGCCUGGAUUUUUUCAAGGCUAUGAGUUGCACAAUCGAGCAGAAGAUUCUUUGAAGCUACAAGAAGAGGUCAAAGCAGCAUGUUCACAAGGUGUGUUACUCAGAAGUUUCCCUUUACAGAUUUUAUUUGCUUGAUUACCUUUAGGAAUUCCCAUGGCAUCAUUUGGCCAACUCUAGGUAUGCUGUUGCCUCAGAAUCUUCAUUGAAAUGGGCAUUGAUCAGAAGGAAGGGAGGAGAGAAAGGAAGACGGGAGAGAGAGGAAGGAAGGAAGGGAGAGAGAAAGGUGCUGCGCAUUUAAAUUGUCCCAGGGUACCUACUUGAGGCAUGGUUAUCUUCGACCACUGCUGUUUUUAAACACUUUGUUAUUAUAACCUAGACUGUAACCUGGUAUGGUAUGUCUGUAAGAAGGAAGAUGAGAAUACUCUCUCUUAUUCCAAUUCAGGAGUAGAAAGGAGCAGUUAUUAAAAUGCUGUCGGUUUUAUCAACCAAGCUGUGCUGAGCUUGUGUCUAGGACUGAUACCAGACAGCUGAAAGAAGUGAAAAUAUAUUUAGGAUCACAUCAGGGUUACCUUAAAACACUGGAAAAGAAAAAAUUGUGUAGCCAUCUUCCCUUAGUAUUAUACAGGGCUCGGGGCAAAGGUAUUUGCAACAAGUUAGCAUGUACAACAUUUUGCCUCUCUAUUAUACCUUAAAAUAGCCUUUAAAAGCAGCAAAUUCAUGGCUUAACAAAAAACUAUCUCUUUGAAAUGUUUUCCUGUGUGCUCAUUCCUCCAAAAAAAUCCAUAAUUAUCAACUUGAUAUAUGAAAUUGGAACUUAGCAAAUGUUUCAGAGAGAUUACUUGCGUUCUCUGUGUAGCAUGUUAGCUUCUAAAGUCCCUCAUAAAUAUGAUCCUUCAUGAAAUCGCAAUUCAAAGACUUAUGUGGUUCCCUGUUUCGCUUUCUCCCUUGUCUUAAAACAUGCAUUGAUUUUCUAAGAGUGAACAUUUGCUUUGUGGUCAUACAGAACAGGCUCUUAAACUAGUGAUUUUUAGUGUGAGAAAGUCAUCAUUAUCAUCAUAAAUCUGGUAUCACAUUAUAAGUCUAGCAGGGAAACACCACAUAGGCUACCUGGGCAACCAGAGACAUUGUAGUCUUUAUUGGAGGCUAAAGUGUUUUUAAGACAUUAGCAGGGCCCAGGGGAAAGUGGGUCUCCAUUCCUUUCCAUUUUCUGUUUGGGAAGUCAUUGUUUCCAUUGUGAGGUCACGCAACCCUGGCAGAUCUUCCAAGAAAUUAGAUAACAGUAAGAGCUGAACUCAGUAGAUUUUACCUAUUCAUAAAAAAUAAUAAUUCCUCCUGUCUAAGUGAUAGAGCCUCUUGAGUGGUGAGAUGAAUGGCAUGAAACUCUUGUUAAAGGCUUAUAAAAAUCUACAGUUACACAAUAUUCAGAAGAUAGAGAAAUGACCAGCUUCACACAGGAAGACUUCCUUUAACCCAUCCAUAGACUGGAAGACCUUCCUUUUUAACAUGCAGCAGCUUUUAAUGGAAGGCAAAAUAGGCCCAUCUAAGAGAAAAAGAAUUCCGUACCCUGCAGAGUAGAGCUAAUAAAUUAUUUUUGAAAAAUACA